rnacentral:rRNA from 1 species
UACGUAGGUGGCAAGCGUUGUCCGGAUUUACUGGGCGUAAAGAGCGCGCAGGCGGUCGAUUAAGUCGAGUGUGAAAGCCCCCGGCUCAACUGGGGAGGGUCAUUUGAUACUGGUCGACUCGAAGGCAGGAGAGGGAAGUGGAAUUCCCGGUGUAGUGGUGAAAUGCGUAGAUAUCGGGAGGAACACCAGUGGCGAAGGCGACUUCCUGGCCUGUUCUUGACGCUGAGGCGCGAAAGCUAGGGGAGCAAAC